rnacentral:rRNA from 1 species
UAGCCCUAGGGGCGCAGCAGUGAGGAAUAUUGGUCAAUGGUCGGGAGACUGAACCAGCCAAGCCGCGUGAGGGAUGAAGGUACAGAGUAUCGUAAACCUCUUUUGUCAGGGAACAAAGGCGGGGACGCGUCCCCGGAUGAGUGUACCUGAAGAAAAAGCAUCGGCUAACUCCGUGCCAGCAGCCGCGGUAAUACGGAGGAUGCGAGCGUUAUCCGGAUUUAUUGGGUUUAAAGGGUGCGCAGGCGGUCCGUUAAGUCAGCGGUCAAAGCCCGGGGCUCAACCCCGGCCCGCCGUUGCAACUGGCA